CGAAGGGGGCUAGCGUUGUUCGGAUUUACUGGGCGUAAAGCGCACGUAGGCGGAUUGUUAAGUCAGGGGUGAAAUCCCGGAGCUCAACUCCGGAACUGCCUUUGAUACUGGCAAUCUUGAGGCUGGAAGAGGUUGGUAGAAUUCCCAGUGUAGAGGUGAAAUUCGUAGAUAUUGGGAAGAAUACCAGUGGCGAAGGCGGCCAACUGGUCCAGAUCUGACGCUGAGGUGCGAAAGUGUGGGGAGCAAACAGGA
rnacentral:rRNA from 1 species